rnacentral:rRNA from 7 species
UCCGACCUCAGAUCGGACGAGAUUACCCGCUGAAUUUAAGCAUAUUACUAAAAGCGGAGA